rnacentral:rRNA from 1 species
AGAGUUUGAUCAUGGCUCAGAACGAACGCUGGCGGCGCGUCUUAAGCAUGCAAGUCGGACGGCAAGGGGAGCUUGCUCCCCCUAGAGUGGCGGACUGGUGAGUAACGCGUGGGUGACCUACCCUUGAGAUGGGGAUAGCCAUUAGAAAUAGUGGAUAAUACCGAAUACGCUCUGGAUGCUUUGGCGACCAGAGGAAAUCAGGCUACGGCCUGGCUCGAGGAUGGGCCCGCGUCCCAUUAGCUAGUUGGUGAGGUAACGGCCCACCAAGGCGACGAUGGGUAUCCGGCCUGAGAGGGUGUACGGACACAUUGGGACUGAGAUACGGCCCAAACUCCUACGGGAGGCAGCAGCUAAGAAUAUUCCGCAAUGGACGAAAGUCUGACGGAGCGACGCCGCGUGGAUGAAGAAGGCCGGAAGGUUGUAAAAUCCUUUUGCUGAUGAAGAAUAAGUGUGGUAGGGAAUGACCGCAUGAUGACAUUAGUCGGUGAAUAAGCCCCGGCUAACUACGUGCCAGCAGCCGCGGUAACACGUAGGGGGCAAGCGUUGUUCGGAAUUAUUGGGCGUAAAGGGCAUGUAGGCGGUUUCGUAAGCCUGGUGUAAAAGUCUGCAGCUUAACUGCAGGGGUGCGCUGGGAACUGCUGAGCUUGAGUGACGGAGAGGGAGCUGGAAUUCCUGGUGUAGGGGUGAAAUCUGUAGAUAUCAGGAAGAACACCGAUGGCGAAGGCAAGCUCCUGGCCGAUGACUGACGCUGAGGUGCGAAAGUGUGGGGAUCAAACAGGAUUAGAUACCCUGGUAGU